rnacentral:lncRNA from 1 species
GAACUCUCUGCAAGUCAUUUGUUACAUUUGUUUCUCCUGAUGUACUGAGUACUGAAUAAAAGGUGUGGUAAGCUGGGGACUUUGUCUUUGCCACCCAGAGCAGCACUGAUCAGACCCAAAGUGCAGCUUCUUCUCAGUCUCAUUUUUCUACCUUUCCUGUAAUUUGCCGUGUACUGCCAUGGCUCGCAGGAGACUAGGAUUUAACUGCAGAGGUUCUAGUAACUUCCCCUUCCCCUGUUCCCUACAAGGUGAUACUUGUUUCCAGGAGUAAAUUCGGGAGCAAUGCUUCCCUUUCAAUUUCGUUGAAGAGUUUAAACAGUAGUGUCAGUAGUUCCUCUCUAAAUGUCUUGUAGAAUUCAGCGGUGAAGUCAUCAUGAACUGGGCUUUUCUUAGUUGAGCCGAGGACACCAGGAAAGACGAAGAAGGUUUUGAAAAUGGUCACCUGAUACAAAAGGCAGCUGUUUUCUUGAUGCUUGACCCAGCCCACUGUGCUCCCAACAGCCCUCCUAGCACAGCUACAGAGGGUCCCCUGAGUGGGUCCAUUGAGUAUAAUGGUGGGUUUUCCACUCUAAACAAUUAUGGAAACAAAUCAUGAUGACCUGCUUCGUGCCCUCCUCCGCGGUGCAACUCCUCCUCUGCUGUUAGCUCAGAAAGCAUCCUGUGGUGGAAAUGUGAUUGCACUUUGAAUGAUCUGACAAAGGAAACACCAGUGCAUUCCUCCAAAGGCUGCAUGAGGAGCCAUGAAAAUUUUCUCACAUAUUUGCAGUACAUUAGUCAUAGUCUCCUGAAGAACUGCUGCCUUCUGGGAGUCAAAUGUGAGAGUCACAGAGGUUGCUGCAGAUAUUCUGAGAAAGAUGCAGAAGAAAAUGGGCUGAAAGAAUCAUCAUAGAAAAAGUUGGAAGGCAAAGAAGAGGUAGAAUUCCUUCAAAGAAUGGGGAAAUAAAAAAAUCACAGAAAGCAAAAGGACAGGUAUUUGGUGAAGUUUAAUGAUGCCAGUGAUUUUAGAUGUGGUGUAUAAUUUAAUCUUCAUCAUAGUACUGUUAGGUGAGAAUAUAUGCUCCAUGUAAAGAUCAGGGAGUCAGUUCAGGAAGGUUGAGAAAAUUACGCAAAGUCCUUAAGCUAAUACAUGGCUGGAUCAGGACUCAGGUAAUGUUUCCUCUGAGUCCAAGAAUUAAUUCACUGCAUUGAAAGGCCCUAGCAGUGAUUAAGCAUCCAGACCUACAGUGAAUAUCCAAGAUACAUUAAGUGAGCAUUACUAUCUUCUAAAGACAUGAUACAAUACAUAGAGACCCAGGUAUGUUUACCUGCAGGGAAUUUAUUGUUUAUCUCUCAAGAUGGACUAUGAAGUGACAAGGCAUUCUGAGGAGUGCCAUUGGGGCACAUGGAGUCAGAAGACCGGAUGUUUCUGAAGCUAAUGAGUAGCCCUUCAUCCAAUUCCAGAAAGUCAACAAAGGUUUCUCAGGGGGAAAAGUAUGUUAGAUGGUAGUAGUACAGGGCCAUAAGAAGGGUUGCUUAGGGAAGAUGGGAAAAUCUAGAAAUAAGAAGUAGCAAGGGCUACCUUUGAGGCCCUGCAUGAGAUUCAGUAAUAGCAAGAGUUACUAGUAAGUGCGCAAAAGCCUGGGUGUUUGGAAAUGGUGACACAGGCAGGGACCACCUUGUGACAAGCCAGGGAGCCAUCAUCAUUUUCCCAUCCUAUCUAGUGUAAAAAAGUAGGAGGUGUGCUGCUGUGUGUGCUUUUACAGCAAGAACUCCUUUUGAUAGCCAUAAAGCAAUGAUUGAUGUAAAAAGUAAUACUUCUCAGCAUUCACUCCCUUGCUGUAUAUUUUCAAUACGUGCUCAAGGGAAAACUAGAAUUAUCAGAGUCGUUAAUAAAGUUAAAAUGUAAGUGUACUUGAAACGUUCUGAGAAGAGUUGGUCAUCCUUAUUUCUUUAUCUCAGGCAAAAUUUUGGAGAAACAUUUUAAUGUUUGCACAAUCUUCAAUCAAAUAUACUGCCCAUUUUUAGAUCCCUAACUUAUUGCUGUCAUGUAAGUACCAGGGGGCAGGAGUAGGUUGGGACAUGACUUAAUGCUAAGAUUAAGAAACACAUAAAUAUCAUUUUAAAAUUUUUUUUCUGUAAAAUUUUUAUUUCUGCUAGUGAUGGUACCCUUUUUUGUUCAGUUAUGCCUAUGGAAAUUAAAUAGGAUUUUAUUAGCAAUAAAAAAUUUUCAAGUUAUCUUCCUUCUGGGUCUCAUGUAUUUCCUAGAGCCCUUCUUAGGCUUUAAUAGGAUCAGGUUGCUUGAAAUUUCUAUUUCUUAAUCAUCACUAGCUCAUUAACAUCAUGUCUCUUCACAUCUGCUUUUUCCUCUUCCUCUGAUGACUGGUGAGGUUAAUCAAAAAGCCAGGAUGUGUUUUCAUAUAAGGUACUAAGUAAAGAAAACAACAUUCUUUAUUAAGGGUCAGUCAUAUCCAACUUUAGUAUAUGUGCUGCCAAAGAACCUCAUACACAAUUUUAAAGUGUGAGAAUUCCAUUCCUUUAUUACCUAGGACUUCUUUUUGGAUUCAACUCAAUCUGAUUUGAAACAAAUAAAAGCUUAACCACAAAAAAACAAAACCGAAGAUUUACUGAUUUCUGCAAUGAGAGAGUCCGGGGGUGCAGUAGCUCCAGAGACUCAAAUUCCAAUAUUGGAGAUUCUCUUCUUAUCUGUUGGGUGUGCUUUGCUCUAUUAGCUUCUAUUUUAGUGGGAUUUUCUCAUGUGGUGGUUAUAUUACUGCCAAAGGAUGCAAUCUUCUGACUGCCCAGGAGUAGGGCAUGGAAAGGUAGAUUUCUGUUCUCAGACCCGUUGGAAAUCAUGUAGACUAAGAAUGAGGUAAUAGUGGUGUCAUGGAAAAUACAGAUUUUGUUAGCAGACUACAGAAGGAUGGAUAACAGAAAGGCAAAAUAAUAACUUUCCUUUUACAAUUCCAUUUUCAAACAGCUUCAGGAUUUAUAGUAACUAAAAUACAGUAGAGUUACCAUUUCAUUCACAAACAUGACAAAGCCUCAUAAUAUAGCCUUUGUAUUUUUGAGAUCACCAAAUUUUUGUUAUAUACAAACUUUGAAAUCUGUAUGAGGAGUUCUCCAGUAUUCUCAGGGAAAUGUUCUGUAAAUAGAGAGAGGUUAUUAGAUAGUAAAAUAAUUACUUCAUCCCACUUUUCUCUGCCACAUUGUUAAUGUUUUCAUGAGGAUGAUACAGUUAUGACUUGGGAUAGACAAGAGCAGGCUGAUAAAUCCCAGCCUUUUAGCUCCAAUCUUGUUUUCUUAGCAGUUUUUCUCUGCCUCAAAGGAAGCCAUUAUCCUUUACUUCAUUAGAUUUGUCUACUAUAACACAAGAGUAUUUUCUGGUGGAUGGAUCUAAAACUCUGCAGGACAUCCAUCAAGACCCAGGGCUCUGGGCAUACAGGGAUCCAUCAUCCUUCAUUUUAGCCCUCCUGGAGCUCUGGAAACCUUUUUUUGUUGUUGUUGCCAUCACUAAUUGAAUGACUGAGCACUCAAAAUGAAAUAUUUGCAUAUCUGCAGAUUAAGCAGUAUGAAGGGCAAGUUGGAAUCUUAUUAAAAACAACAUAACACAGUCAUUACAGCUUUUGAUUUUAUAGAAUUCUUAUCUCUAUCCUAUGGUAAGAGACAGUUGAUGCUUUGAAGUCUUCACUUAGAGAAGACAAGUAGCUUCUCCCUUCAUUUCCCUAAAUUAAAGUGAUUUUGAGUCAUUCACAUUGGCUUACUUUCUACAUUAACAUUUGUUUGAAUUCUUACUUCUGUGCCACAAGGCCAUGGAUGCUUGCCUCACUUUUUCCUUAAUCGAACUUUCUUUUGAAGAUGUGACUUCAAGUUUCCUGACUGAAUGCCUUUGGUCCUAUUCUUUUAGGUAAAGUGAAAAUAGCUAAUUAGUAUUUAUUUUCUUCAUGAUCUUAAGGCUUUCUAUAUGGGUUAUAAAGAAGAUAAGAUAUUCAGAAUUAUUAUUUUGAGGUAAUUAUCCAAGUUGAUUAGAAAAGUUUUUUAUUUUUAAAAAUUUCUCCAUGUUUAUUACCAAUUAGCUUUCAGAUGCCAUCUAGAGCUGUUGAGAGAGAUGAAUUGAAAGUGAUUUGAUGAUAUGAUUAGGUUACAUGAUUGGCCACCAGCAUUGAAAAUCACAUCAUUAACAGCAAAUGGACAGAGGAAAUUACCUGCAGUGAGAAGAGAAUGUAGAAGGAAUGCAGAGUUUGACCCUGUACCACCCUGACUUUUAGCAUAUAAUGUCUCAAGCACAGAGUGAGAAAAUACUCAGCAGAGAGAUGCAAAUAAGAGACCUCAAUGAUACACCACACACUAUCAAUGGAUCCAUAGCUCCGGGGGUGCCUGCUGACUCUUUCUAAAUGCACACAUGUCAUCAUAUUUGACCACUAGGCAGAAGACAAGAACAGUUCCCAUCUCCUGUGCAUUUACUAGAUCCAAGGUGAUGUCCAAUAUAGUCUACAUCUUUUUUUAAUCUCACAACAACUGUAUCAGUUAUUACUGUUCUGCUUGUUUUAAAGAUGACAAUCUGAGUCUAAAAUAUGUCAUGUAUUUUGUCAAAGGUCAUACAGCUGGUGAGUGGUAGACCCAACUUUGAAUCCAAGUUUAUUUAAAGUCCAUCAUUUUUGACAAUUUUAAAAUUUUAAUGGCAAGUGGAACUAUAAAAGAUCAAAGAAAAUGCUUGGCAUUUACAGAUUUUUGAUCGACAUUUUCUCCCUUCACUAGCAAUAAUGCUAGCUUUCUGGGGAGUCAUCAGAUCAGUAAACAAAUAAUAAUAAACAACAGAACCUAAUAUUUUCAGUUUACCUCCUCAAAUAAUAUGUUAUCAUUUGAUCCUCCCACUCACCCUCAGGAGGAAAGGAGUUUCACUAAGUGAGUCAAAGAGAGCUGUAGGAGACCUCGAUUUUUGAAUUUAUUCUAUUCUAUUUUGUACACAUAGGAACUUGGAUAAGCUGUGGAAUAUGCAUGCGGGAGAGUCAAAAGUCAAUAGUAUGGCAGUAAUGUUAAAGAUGAUAAAAAAUAAUAAUAGUCAACCAAUAUUUAGAAUUUUGACCCAAGCUAUGAUCUCAGCAUUGCCCUUGUUUUAUUAUAGUAAGUCAAUUUUGAUGAGGAAUCUCUCACUUGCAAUGAAUUGCACCAAUCCCUACUACACCAGGCAAUGAGUUAUGGGAGUUGUGUGAAAACACAACUUUAAUGAAAAGAGAAUAUUUCCAGCGUCCUCAAAAGGAUCAUCAUAUCUCUUUGUUCUCCACUCCAUUCUCCAAGCCUGUUUUCAGGCAACCACCAAUCUGCUUUUCAUCACUGUAGAUUAGUUUGCAUCUUUAUUAAUCUUACGUAAAUGGAGUAAUGUACUAUUGCUCUUUGUAUCUGCUUUCUAUCAUGCACAGUGAUGAUUUUGAAGUUCAUCUAUUAUAUUAUGUUUAUCAAAUUGUUUCUUUUCACAGAUCAGCAGUCUUCCAUUUUAUGGAUAUAUCAUAUUUUGUCUAUUCAUUAUCCUCCUGUUGAUGACAUUUGGGUUGUUUUGUAUAUGGCUAUUCUGAAUAAAGCUUCCAUGAACAUUUACUUACAUAUCUUUUCAUGUUUUUGUUUCCCUUGGGUUAUAUACCUGGGAGUGCAAUGGUUGAGCCCUACAGUAGAUUUAUAUGUAACUUCUCAAGAAAUGGCCAAAUUUUUUCCAAAGUGGUUGCAUAAUUUGUUGUGCCAUAAUCUGUGUAUGAGAGUUGUUCUAUAUCUUUAUUAAUGUUUUUUAUUUUCUUUUUGAUUAUUAACAUUCUAAUGGGUUUAAAGCUGUAUUUCAUUAAGCUUUUAACAUGAAAUUCUUUGAUGUUAAGAGAUACUGAACAUUUUUUCAGGUGACUCUUUGAAAUUCGUG